AUUCCUUUUAUACUACGACUUUAUUUUAUGAACAAAAGGAGCUUUAAGAUCCCAUUCUUAGAUGGUGUGUUUCUCUUACUAUUUAAAGCGAGAAUUCCAGCUGUAGGGGAGUAGCUUGAGGAGCUUGGAGAGCACACCUGGUCCCAGCACCUGUGUGGCCUGGGUCACUCCUCCGCGCCGUCUGUCCAGCACGGUGUGCACGGUGUCGUACGCGCACGUGGAUCCAGCAGCAGAACUGAAGAAACAUCGCACUUUCUUUAGCAGCCGGCACCACUUUUCAAACCUUCCAACCUCGUGGGUCAUGUUUCAGUCACCGUCACAGCCAGGGUCUCACUGGUUCAUAGACUGUCUUCCCAGGACGGAGAGUCUGAGGGACCCAGAAGCAGGUCAAAGGCAAGGUCAUCCCAGCGCUGGCGUUCCCGGGGAGCGCUGCGAGACGGAGCUGCCCCUGGACCACGGGGCUUGGGGUGUCACCCACCCCAGGGAAUGGCCAUUCCCGCUGAGUGAGGACAGGAGACACUGGGGGACUUGGGGAAGCGAGGGCGGCGACAUAGCAGAGAGGCUGGAGCCCCAACACGGAUGCGGGUCAGUGGCUCCAGUGACCCGGGAGGCCCAGCCGGGUCUGAACCUGUGCUUUCCCAGGCUCCCGGGUGACGCAGGUGCAGCCGCUGGGACCCCAAGGAUGAGGCCUCCAGACCCAGGUCCCCACCCUCACGCUGGCCGAUGGCAACCGUGGCCCCUCGGGAACCACGGCCACUCACGUGUCACGGAGUCACAGGGUCACAGUCACGGGGGUCACAGAGCCAGCGGGGUCACGGAGCCAGCGGAGUCAUGGGGUCACGGAGUCACAGGGGUCAUGGAGCCAGCAGGGUCACAGAGUCACGGGGGUCACAGUCAUGAGGUCACAGAGCCAGCGGGGUCACAGAGUCAUGGAAGGGCGUGGCCAGGGCCUAGGAUGGGGUGGGGAGAGGGUUCCCCCAACAAACAGACGCUCAGGUCAGGCCUAGUAUCCAGAGGACACUCAGGGAGGAGUCCGGCAUGGCUCCGGCGUGCGCCACCAGGACACGGCACGAGGUGGAACCGGCCCCAUCGUUCCCCGGGACUCACCCUUAAUUCAUCACAAAAGGAGCGACUUCAGGAUGGGGUAUCAGUGCUCCCCGCAGAGCUCCCGGGGCCUCCUCGCAUCACCCCACAUCUGCCUGGCCCGGAGGGUGGGGCGUCCUGAAGAAGGUUCCAGAAGCAAGGCCAGCUACCCCCCUGCCCCGCGGCUGCACUGUCUGAGCCCGCCUGAACCGCCGAGGUCACUGCUGCAGGAGCCCGUGUCCUGGACUCGACGGGCCACCCUGCCCCUCACCGCCCCCCCCAGGGUUGGCCGGGAACCAGGAGCUGCUUCCCCAGGCACAGGGGGAGCCUCUGCAGGAGGCUGAGCGCCCCUCUGCCCCCAUCCCCCGGGCGCACAAAGCCACGUGGCAUUUUCACAUUAUGCCUUUAUUUCUGCAGCCGGCGGGGGUGGGGGGGCACCCCGGGGACCCAGACCCAGCUCAGAGCAACCAACAGCGGGGCGGCUGCCUCAAACCCGCGAGCAGACGCAGACUCCCACGCGGGAAAGUCAUCUGUUUUACCCAAAUAGACGGACCCACGUCCACCGAACCCGACCUGCGAACCACUGAGAGGACGAGCACCUGGUUCAGGUGUCGGAUCCGGGCAGUGAGGUCAGAGGUCACCACGCGGUUGCAAUCACAUCUGAAGACACGUGUCGUGGGGACCCCUUGGCAGAGGCCGGCCCGGGCCUGGGGUCACCCCGCGAUCGGAGGUUGUGGCCCAGAUGCACCCGGGGCCCCGCGGGGCUCACGUGAAGCCGUGGUGGCGUCUGCUCCGGGGAGAGCCCCCGCUGCCAGGUGGGGGACCCCGCCCCACCACCACGCGCCAGCCCCUCGCCACCCCUCGGCUCGGCCUCUGCUGACGGGCAGGAAACCCCGAGGUGAGGGCGGUAUGCGUAGGGCGGUGUGCGCAGGGCCAGAGGUUGACCCGGGCCCGGCCGGCUGCUGGGGUUGCACACGAGCCAACCGCAGGCCGGUCAGGACCCUCCGACUGCUGGGCGUCCGCACCGUCCAGGACCUGGCUGUGGGCGUUGUCUGGGGGUGCCCCUGGCCCCCGCCCCCCACAGACCCCCUCGGUGGCCUGCGGCCCUCACUCCAGUCCUGGGUGGCCAGCUGACUUCCCAGGGUUGUUAGCCCAGCCGCACACUAGUGGGGGUCACUGCGAGCCCCAGGAUGUCAUCACGAGCCCCAGGGUGACCCCCGCCCGGUAAACCUUCCCCCCCCUCCCCCAGGUGCCACUUCCCCUGCGGUGUGGGAAGAGCUCCGUGCGGAACCCACCAUUGCGGGGCCGUGUCACCGGGCCUGAGCCCCGGAAGCUGCCCUUUUGCCUUUUUCUGGAUUAAAGUGAGUCCACACCCGCGGCCCCCGUCAGCUGGUGCUGGACACCGGGAAGCAGGGCGAGCUCCCGGGGUGGUCACUGGGGGCGGGGGUGGACGGCGCUGUGCCCCCGGGGCAGAGCCGCCCUGUCAGGUCCCAGCUCCUCCUGUCGCCUCCCCUCAUCCGCCCGGAGGGGCUUUAUUUUCUUGGGACUGUUGGACGAACGUGCGUCUCAACCUGUCACCUCCCAACCUGCUCUUGGAGCAGGAGGAGGGGAUGCGCAUGGAUACCCCACACGAGGCGUGACUGGUUCAGCGGGUUGAGCAGGUUUCAGGUCGGGCUCCUCUCCCCACUCCUCUCCCCGCCCAACAUCUUUCCCGUAAAUUCCUCAUAAACUGGUUCUUUCCUCCCCGGAAAUGCCGCCUCCUCCCUGCGUCCAGCAGACCGGCCGCGGGGGGCGGAGGGAAGGGGGGGACUGGCCCCAGGUCGCAACCCACGUCGCGAUCGAGAGCAACGGGCUGCGGAGGGAAGGCGGCCGGGAUGCGCCUGCCCAGGGUGCGAGGGAGGGCAACACUCCGAGGCGCGGUGCGUCCCAAUGGGACGUGCAUUUUAUCCAUAAACCUCAAAGACAUGAAGACAGUUAUGCUCACGGGUCAGGUUCGAGCUGCAGCCUCUUAAGUGCAGGAGACACAACUUUUGUCCCGGGCGAUCUCCCGGGCCUCACGGGUCGUGUGAAAGCAGUUGAGUCUGAGAACGGUGAGGCCGCCCGGGUUGCCCACCAGACACCAAGUAAAAUGCAAAGCAUAACGAGACUCAAGCCCAUGGGGUGUCCCCUCGCCCCGUGCGCUGACAGAUGGGACUCGGUAGCCAGAAUCCGGGUUUUCUUUGCAAAUACAGAUUUGGUGAAAAGGACCUCGAGCAAAGGCGAUGGGGGCCGAGCGGGGGGCCGGGGCACGCCAGCAAGGAGGUGGCUGCGGAAGCUCUUACCCGAAAUCCCAAUCCACCCGCGUCCCCGGGGAUGCCCCCGGAAACCACAGGCGGUCGGGAUCCUGCUGUCAAGCAGCUGCGGGUCCGCGCGGUGCACACUUCCUGGCAGCCCCUCGCCCGCAUCGGUGAGGUAAUAUUUUCAAAAUGACUCUGAAAUGCAUCUUUAAUGAAGUAAGUACAGCGCACCUGCAGGCGAGCGAAGCUACUUGUCCCCUCAGGUGGGCUCGCGAGCUCUCAGAAGCCGCAGGCCCUUAGGGCAACCGAGGCCGGUCGCUGCGUUUCCCGAAACUCGGGCCUUGCGCCAAGCACGUCUGUCUUGAUGGAAGGGGCGCUCCUUGCCGCCGCGCCUGCCGCUCCAGUCUCCCGCCCGGUGGACAGUUCAGGCCAAACCUCCUCAUUGCUUCUUUUUUUUUUUUUUCCCUGUAGAAUCAUACCGAGCAUGCGCGGAAGGUCGCCUGAAUUCCCUGGUCAGUGCCCCGGGUGCCCCGCGUGCCCUGCGUGCCCCGGGGACGAUGUGGAAGCCACGGCAAGCCUCCGACCUCAAAAUAACUGGCGGUAUUCUGGGCAGCGCUUUAUCUUGCGUGAGACCUGGUUCCUACGCUUCGUGGAAAUUAUUAUCCGGGUAGAUGGAUGAUAAGGCGGCGUUUAGAGACGCCCAAAACCACGACACGUGUGGUUUUCAGCAAGGUCCGUAGGCCAGACUUCAAGUAGAACGGGGGUGCCCUACGAUUCUCUCUGGUUUUUCCAGAAUGCUGUGGGAGGAAUUGGCCAGGGCUUUUUCCAACAGAAACUCAGGGUUGGGGUUCCCUGGGCGGCUUAGUGGUUGAGCACCUGCCUUCGGCCCAGGACGUGACCCCGGGGUCCUGGGAUCGAGUCCCUCGUCGGGCUCCCUGCAUGGAGCCUGCUUCUCCCUCCGCCUGUGUCUCUGCCUCUCUCUCUGGGUCUCUCAUGAAUAAAUAAAAUCUUAAAAAAAAAAAAAAAGAUGUAAAGCUCUGGGACGACAGGAAGUUUGGGAGAGAGGUGUUGGCUCAGACCGGCUUUGCCCUGACGGCCGCCUGGUGGGGGUGAGGACGCGUCCAGGGAGGGCCUGGAGCCCG
rnacentral:lncRNA from 1 species